UGGUAGAUUUUUCUUUUUCUUAUUAUUCCAUAGGUUUGGAGGAAGCUCGCGAAGCCGUGGCACUUUAUACGUCUUGUCCAGGAGCAUCUAUUGAGGCCAAGGAUGUUAUUCUAAGCAGUGGCUGUUCUCAUGCGUUGGAAAUGUGCAUCACUGUGUUAGCCAAUCCUGGU